AAGCAUCUGAAAUCAGAAGCCAUUCUAAGAAAAAAGGGAAAAAGAAAGUACAGUGGGAAACAGGCGAAUCAACGGCUCACUGUAAAGGGAAAACCUGGACUGACAUUGAUUCACAGAAAGCCAACAACAAGCUUAUGAAAAUAUGGGAUCAGGAAACGGCAACAAAUUACAUUAAAGCCCGAGUUUAUGGUUAUAAAGUCAGUGAUGCUGAUCUCAUGUCUCUAAAAAGUCCAAAGUGGUUGACAGAUCAGGUACUUGAUGCAUACCUGUCAUAUCUAGCUCAGAAAGUGGGAUAAGGGGAAAAAAGUAAAGCAUAUGAGUGUAUCCAAGAUAACCAGUAUCAUCAAUGAUCAUGUUCAGUCUUCAGAAAAAAAGGUUUUUUAAAUAAUCUUAAUCUAAUUUCUUUUGUGCAAAACAUUGCAAAAAUGAGCAAUUUUAUGUUUGAGUUUUAUAAGUAAAAAAUCAGAGAGUCACCAUUU